UGACAUGGCCGCACCUGAGUGCGAGUACCUGAUCCAUCUGAUCUUAGAAGCUAAGCAGGGUCGUGCCUGGUUAGUACUUGGAUGGGAGACCACCAUGGAAGGCCAGUGGGUUUUGUCAG
rnacentral:rRNA from 12 species